GGAUCAUUAAAGAGUUCUAUAACUCCCAAACCCAUGUGAACAUACCUAACGUUGCCUCGGCAGGUCGCACCUACCUUGUAGCACCCUACCCUGUAGGGCCUACCCGGGAGGUGCGGGUAAGCCUGCCGGCGGCCCACCAAACUCUGUUUGAUAUUGAAUUCUGAACCUAUAACUAAAUAAGUUAAAACUUUCAACAACGGAUCUCUUGGUUCUGGCAUCGAUGAAGAACGCAGCGAAAUGCGAUAAGUAAUGUGAAUUGCAGAAUUCAGUGAAUCAUCGAAUCUUUGAACGCAUAUUGCGCCCAUUAGUAUUCUAGUGGGCAGGACCGUUCGAGCGUCAUUUCAACCCUUAAGCCUUCGUUGCUUAGUGUUGGGAGCCUACGGCAACGUAGCUCCUCAAAGUUAGUGGCGGAGUUAGUUCACACUCUAGACGUAGUAAUUUUUUAUCUCGCCUAUUAGUUGGACUAAUCCCCUGCCGUAAAACCCCCAAUUUAUCAAGGUUGACCUCGAAUCGGUUCAGACAAACUCGCUAAAUUGAAGCAUCUUAGUCAGCGAAGGAAAAGAAACCAACAGGGAUUGCCCUAGUAACGGCGAGUGAA
rnacentral:rRNA from 1 species